rnacentral:rRNA from 1 species
UACGAAGGGGGCUAGCGUUGUUCGGAAUUACUGGGCGUAAAGCGCGCGCAGGCGGCUAUCCAAGUCAGUGGUGAAAGCCCGGAGCUCAACUCCGGAACUGCCAUUGAAACUGUUUAGCUUGAGGAUGAGAGAGGUGAGUGGAAUUCCCAGUGUAGAGGUGAAAUUCGUAGAUAUUGGGAGGAACACCAGUGGCGAAGGCGGCUCACUGGACCGGAACUGACGCUGAGGCGCGAAAGCGUGGGGAGCAAACGGG